rnacentral:rRNA from 1 species
CGAAAGCCUGACGGAGCAAGACCGCGUGGGGGAUGAAGGUUUGUGGAUUGUAAACCCCUUUUGAUUGGGAAGAAUAACUGACGGUACCAAUCGAAUAAGCCUCGGCUAACUCCGUGCCAGCAGCCGCGGUAAUACGGAGGAGGCAAGCGUUAUCCGGAAUUAUUGGGCGUAAAGCGUCCGUAGGUGGUUUAGUAAGUCUGCUGUUAAAGCGCGGGGCUUAACCCUGUAUCGGCAGUGGAAACUACUAGACUAGAGUGUGGUAGGGGUAGAGGGAAUUCCCAGUGUAGCGGUGAAAUGCGUAGAUAUUGGGAAGAACACCGGUGGCGAAGGCGCUAUACUGGGCCAUAACUGACACUGAUGGACGAAAGCUAGGGGAGCG